GCUAACACAUGCAAGUCGAGCGGAUGAAGGGAGCUUGCUCCCGGAUUUAGCGGCGGACGGGUGAGUAAUGCCUAGGAAUCUGCCUGGUAGUGGGGGACAACGACUCGAAAGGGUCGCUAAUACCGCAUACGUCCUACGGGAGAAAGUGGGGGAUCUUCGGACCUCACGCUAUCAGAUGAGCCUAGGUCGGAUUAGCUAGUAGGUGAGGUAAUGGCUCACCUAGGCAACGAUCCGUAACUGGUCUGAGAGGAUGAUCAGUCACACUGGAACUGAGACACGGUCCAGACUCCUACGGGAGGCAGCAGUGGGGAAUAUUGGACAAUGGGCGAAAGCCUGAUCCAGCCAUGCCGCGUGUGUGAAGAAGGUCUUCGGAUUGUAAAGCACUUUAAGUUGGGAGGAAGGUUUGUAGUUUAAUACGCUGCAAUCUUGACGUUACCAACAAAAUAAACA
rnacentral:rRNA from 1 species